GCCUUCUCUUCCUCAUCCCUCUUCUCCUUUAGGCGUUGCUGCAAGGUCCCCCAACGUCUACUUCGACUCACCGGCGCAGUCGCCCCCUUCAUGCGGCGAGAUUCAUGUGAUCACCGGCCCGAUGUUCGCCGGAAAGACAACAGCUUUGCUCCGUCGAGUUCUAGCCGAGAAGAGUAAUGGAAGAAUGCGGCCUUAAUUAAAUCUGAAAAAGAUAGGAGAUAUGGUUGGAUGCAAUUGUAACUCAUGAUGGUACACAAAUGCCGUGCAUGGCUAUUCCAGUGCUUUCUGUGUUCCGAGAAAGACUAGGAGCAGAAGCCUAUGAUAAGGUUGAUGUGAUAGGGAUUGAUGAAGCCCAAUUCUUUGAGGAUUUUUAUGAUUUUUGUCGGAACGCUGCUGACCGUGAUAGGAAAACAGUUAUUGUCUUUGACUUGGAUGGUGACUACCUUGGGUAAAUGAUAUAAAUCCCUGCCAAUUAGACUGUCUUUUUAGAGAACCACAUUUAAGAAGCAUCAUCGAGUGAAGUUCAUAGUUUAGAUAUUAUGAUUCUGAGCUGGUUGGUCUCUCCGCAACAUGUUACAGGGUAUACUUGCACUCAGCAUCUCAUCUAGUUAAGUUUUGUUAUAUCAUCAAACCAUGUCUUUGACAGACGGAGAUUUGGUUCAUUGCUUGAUAUCAUUCCGCUAGCUGAUUCAGUCACCAAGCUUACAACAAGGUGUGAGUUGUGCGGUCAGCGUGCAUUCUUUACUCGAAGGAAAACAAGUGAAAAACAAACUGAACUUAUAGGCGGCGCUGAUAUUUACAUGCCAGUCUAUAGACAAUUCUAUUGCAAAAAGGUCACGGGUUCGAAUCCUGAAAACAACCUCUUGUAAAAAACAGGGUAAGAUUACGUACAAUGGAUCUUUCCCUAAGACCUCGCAUGGUGGGAGCUUCGUGCACCGGACUACUCUUUAGUCUGUAGACAACACUAUGCAGAGGAACUCACCGUAAAAGAAGCCACACGAACUGUGUUGGACAUUGAACACCACUUAGUUGCAGUUUAAAUCUAGCUGAUUCGGUAAUUUUUUGUACCUCGACAUCAUGGAAACCACGAUGAUUGGGUUAGCCGUCUGAUGCCCUCUUGUUUUUUUUGGCUCAAAAAAUAACCUUAAGUUUGGUAUUUGAACUUUGAAGUAUGUAAGCUUACGAAAUUGUAUGCCCUAUGGGCAUGUUAUUUUUUCCCCCUUGGGAUAUGUGUAAUUUUGUAAACAAAGGUGUUCUUGGUUAAAAUGGAUACUGUUUUCGAAAGACAGAA